rnacentral:rRNA from 1 species
UACAGAGGUCUCAAGCGUUGUUCGGAUUCAUUGGGCGUAAAGGGUGCGUAGGCGGCGCGGUAAGUCGGGUGUGAAAUCUCGGAGCUUAACUCCGAAACUGCAUUCGAUACUGCCGUGCUUGAGGACUGGAGAGGAGACUGGAAUUUACGGUGUAGCGGUGAAAUGCGUAGAUAUCGUAAGGAAGACCAGUGGCGAAGGCGGCUACCUGGACAAUUGCUGACGCUCAGGCACGAAAGCGUGGGGAGCAAACAGG